CACGAGCACCACUAAACGAGCGCUGAGCCGCGCGGGGCCAGAAGCUGGACCGGCGCGCACACCUGCCUUGCCUGUCACCUGGAGCCUCUGAGACCCGCCCACAGCCGUCUGGGCUGUGUCCACCGUGAGAACCAGAGCUUUGUUCUCCCCAGGAUCCCGGAGACGCGCCAUUGUUACUUCGGGACACCUGGGGGCCGCGUAAGGACAGGAAAGCUCAAUGGACUCUAUGCAUUGCCCACACGGACCUUAAAAGAACCACUUUCAAAGGACACCAUGGCUGAAGAAGUCAUAUUUAUCAACAUUAAAUAAACACUUGGUGAACAUUUGACAGCUAAAACGACUUCCCAACAAGAUCAUGGUCUGGCUAGUGGAAAUACCAAAUCUGGUCACUAGGUGGCGAAGCAGACUUGAAGAACCACCUCUGUGCUAGGAGGAGCCAAAGCAGCCAGCAGCUGUUCCCCAAGCAGGUACCGGGAACUUCAGUUUAGCUCAGUCAUGCAGUCCGUGGAGGAUAUCACACAGGGUCUAUAGAGCUUUGCAAUCAAACGUGUCUUUAAAGGGAAUCAAAUUUGUGAACUUAGCUCUUGGUAUUCGUUUCAGGCUUCAAGGAGAAAU
rnacentral:lncRNA from 1 species